CGCAAGGUUAAAACUCAAAUGAAUUGACGGGGGCCCGCACAAGCGGUGGAGCAUGUGGUUUAAUUCGAUGCAACGCGAAGAACCUUACCUACUCUUGACAUCCAGAGAACUUUCCAGAGAUGGAUUGGUGCCUUCGGGAACUCUGAGACAGGUGCUGCAUGGCUGUCGUCAGCUCGUGUUGUGAAAUGUUGGGUUAAGUCCCGCAGCGAGCGCAACCCUUAUCCUUUGUUGCCAGCGGUUCGGCCGGGAACUCAAAGGAGACUGCCAGUGAUAAACUGGAGGAAGGUGGGGAUGACGUCAAGUCAUCAUGGCCCUUACGAGUAGGGCUACACACGUGCUACAAUGGCGCAUACAAAGAGAAGCGACCUCGCGAGAGCAAGCGGACCUCAUAAAGUGCGUCGUAGUCCGGAUUGGAGUCUGCAACUCGACUCCAUGAAGUCGGAAUCGCUAGUAAUCGUAGAUCAGAAUGCUACGGUGAAUACGUUCCCGGGCCUUGUACACAC
rnacentral:rRNA from 1 species